GACGAACGCUGGCGGCGUGCUUAACACAUGCAAGUCGAACGGAAAGGCCCUGCUUGCAGGGUACUCGAGUGGCGAACGGGUGAGUAACACGUGGGUGAUCUGCCCUGCACUUCGGGAUAAGCCUGGGAAACUGGGUCUAAUACCUGAUAGUAGCCAUUUUUAUUGUGAUGGUUGGAAAGUUUUUUCGGUGUAGGAUGAGCUCGCGGCCUAUCAGCUUUUUGGUGGGGUAAUGGCCUACCAAGGCGGCGACGGGUAGCCGGACUGGGAGGGUGGACGGCCAAAUUGGGACUGAGAAAAGGCCGAGACUGAUAAGGGAGGCAGCAGGGGGGAAGAAUGAAAAAUGGGCGCAAGCCUGAUGCAGCGAAGCCGCGGGGGGGAGGACGGCCUUCGGGUUGGAAACUCCUUUCGCUAGGGACGAAGCUUUUUGUGACGGUAACUAGAUAAGAAGCACCGGCUAACUACGUG
rnacentral:rRNA from 1 species